UAUGAUGAGGAAAAACCCCUCAGAAAUGUGAAUGAAGUAAUCUUCAACCCGGAGACAUAAGUGGAGCUCGUUUUCAGUUCGGCAAGUUUAAUAUCUUUUUAUUUUAUUCAAUAGAGUUUUCGACAUAAUUUGGAUAGAACUUCAAACGCCUAUUUAUUACUUGAAGAAUGAGAAAUGGUACGAAUGAGGUGUAAAGAUCCACGUCCUUGGGAAAUAUAUGCUGUGUUUUUGAAGGAUAAUAUCACCUUCAGGGUGAAAAAUUCGAAGACAAGUUCACAUGUGCUGCUGUUUCCAAGAACAAGUGGGCAAAUUUCCAAAUAUUUGUCGAAGACUUCGUAGACAAAUCUUAACCCUAGGAAGAAGAUUUUAUUGCAUGACAAAGGAAACGAGUAAGAUCUUUAUUUUGCUUAAUUUUUUCUUGAAAAUUUUGUUUUUUCUGUUGAGAACGAAGAAUGAUUUUUAUGAUUAUUUGACAGGAGGUAGGAGCUGCGAUUUUCUUCUUCUCUGGUACAAUCCACAAAUAUUUG
rnacentral:lncRNA from 1 species